UAAAAUUUGGACUCCGAAACGGUAAACUCCAGUCAUCAAUCAUGUCAUCUGAUACUGCUGUAGUUCCAUGCAACCAUCAAAUGGACAGCCCAGAUUUCAUUAGAGACCUGCUCCCUGCUGCAGAGAAGACAGCCCUGCUGUACAACAUCUCCUACCUCUGCCUGGCCAAAUUCCCCUCUCUGGAGAGAAUCAUCAGAGCCAAUGCUGUUGAGGCCCAAAUGCUGUUCUCCUCCUCUGAGGCUCUGCUGCUGCUGUGUGUUAGCACCAGUGACAACAUGGUCAAGACAUUAUUCCCUAUGCUGAAGGCUGCUGUGGAGAAAGAUAAGCCAGUAGUUGCCAUCAAAUUCCUGAUGAAGGCCAAUCAGUGGAUCCAUGAUAUCAUCAAAGAAGUUGAAAAAAUAGUAGAAGCCUACAAGAAUCUCAACAAUGGGGUGGCGACCGCCACCAGCGAUGUUAUUUACACCAAAGCCAAAACAGAGGACAAGAAUAAACAGCUGACCAAUGAAGAGAAUAUCCUGCAGAAUGCUGUUGACGAAUACAAUAGGAAGCUAAGUGUCAUCCAGUCAGAUCUGACGGAGGUCAAUAGAAAAAUCAACGAUGCUGAUACGGAGCUGCGUGAGUUGGUUAACAGCAUUACCAGUAGAAACAAGAAGAUUGGCAUAGUGGCUGCUGUGGUUCCCUUCAUAGGAUUAAUCACCGAUGCUAUCCAGAAGAUAAUCAAUGACCCUACUGAUAGUGCAGCCAUUGAGUUGGCCAAGAACAAGAUGAAUCAGCUUCAGCUGGACAAGACCCGUUUGAGUAAAAACGAAUGGGAGGCCCAAACGGAGGCGAUGAAACACCAGAUGGAGCUGACCAGAGCCAAAUUUGACCUGGGUUCUGUUCCUGAUCCUGUCCAUCUGGCUGAGGUUCAAAUCUGCCUGACCCGGAUCCAGGAGAUUCUGCUGCAACUCAAAAGCUUCUGGGAGAAGAUCGGAGUGAUGGUGACCAACCUGCAGCAGAAGACCUUUGCUGGGGAAGACCUGAUUGAUGAUCUCUCAGAAUUUAAGGAGGAGUUCUUGGAUUCAUUGAAAGUAGCUGAAGAGGCUUGGAACACGUUUAGUGGGAGAUGCCAGAAUGUCAUGGGCAUGUUUAGUGUCCAGUCAAAGGAUGCCUACAAGUUCCUGGAGACCAGCCCAUCAUCUCUCACCCAGGAAGAGUGGCAGGAAAUGUAUGAUGCUGUGACAGCCAAACUGUAUUCCUUCUACCCUGCCCUCGAGGCCAAGCAGGCCUUUGAGGACCAGCAGGACAUUGAGGACCAGCAGGACAUUGAGGACCAGCAGGCUGCAAAAAGUAAUUAA
rnacentral:lncRNA from 1 species